GAAAAAUACGGAAGAAAAAAAAAUAGAAUUGAGGGUCAUAGUGCAGGAGACGGAAUCGGUGUUCAACUAGUUUAUCUACCUUAUUUAAGGAAUAAUAUAUCAAUGAUGCGUGGGUUGAUGUGAGUUACAAUUAUUAUAAGGGUCGGUGGCUGACACGUUUUGACAACCUUCUCCUCCUCUUCGUUUUUGCAUGUAGAUAAAUGUACAGUAUAUAGAGUGGUGAGAGGGUCUCACUACUGUUUAGAAUGUUUUGAAACAUGUACUUGUUAAAUAUUGGUUUUUGAAAUUAUAUAAAAUGUGCAUUUCAUUUA